rnacentral:rRNA from 1 species
CCGGUUGAUCCUGCCGGACCCGACCGCUAUCGGGGUGGGGCUUAGCCAUGCGAGUCGAACGCCCCGGGGACCCGCCGGGGCGUGGCGCACGGCUCAGUAACACGUGGCUAACCUACCCUCGGGAGGGGGACAACCCCGGGAAACUGGGGCUAAUCCCCCAUAGGGGAAGGGCGCUGGAAGGCCCCUUCCCCGAAAGGGGCCACGCCCGGCACCCGGCGCGGCCCGCCCGAGGAUGGGGCUGCGGCCCAUCAGGCAGUUGGCGGGGUAACGGCCCGCCAAACCGAAGACGGGUGGGGGCCGUGAGAGCGGGAGCCCCGAGAUGGGCACUGAGACAAGGGCCCAGGCCCUAUGGGGUGCAGCAGGCUCGAAUACUCCGCAAUGCGGUAACCCGCGACGGGGCCACCCCGAGUGCCGCCCGAUGAGGGCGGCUUUUCCCCCGUGCAGGGAGCGGGGGGAAUAAGCGGGGGGCAAGUCUGGUGUCAGCCGCCGCGGUAAUACCAGCCCCGCGAGUGGUCGGGGUGUUUACUGGGCCUAAAGCGCCCGUAGCCGGCCCGGUAAGUCGCCCCUGAAAUCCACGGGCUCAACCCGUGGGCCGGGGGCGAUACUGCCGGGCUUGGGGGCGGGAGAGGCCGAGGGUACUCCCGGGGUAGGGGCGAAAUCCGAUAAUCCCGGGAGGACCACCAGUGGCGGAAGCGCUCGGCUGGAACGCGCCCGACGGUGAGGGGCGAAAGCUGGGGGAGCAAAGGGGAUUAGAUACCCCUGUAGUCCCAGCUGUAAACGAUGCGGGCUAGCUGUUGGGCGGGCUUAGAGCCCGCCCAGUGGCGUAGGGAAGCCGUUAAGCCCGCCGCCUGGGGAGUACGGCCGCAAGGCUGAAACUUAAAGGAAUUGGCGGGGGGGCACCACAAGGGGUGUGUGCUUGCGGCUUAAUUGGAGUCAACGCCGGAAACCUCACCCGGGGCGACAGCAGGAUGAAGGCCAGGCUAACGACCUUGCCGGACGAGCUGAGAGGAGGUGCAUGGCCGUCGUCAGCUCGUGCCGUGAGGUGUCCGGUUAAGUCCGGCAACGAGCGAGACCCCCGCCCCUAGUUGCUACCCGGUCCUUCGGGACCGGGGGCACUCUAGGGGGACUGCCGGCGUAAGCCGGAGGAAGGUGGGGGCGACGGCAGGUCAGUAUGCCCCGAAACCCCGGGGCUGCACGCGAGCUGCAAUGGCGGGGACAGCGGGUUCCGACCCCGAAAGGGGGAGGUAAUCCCGUAAACCCCGCCCCAGUAGGAAUCGAGGGCUGCAACUCGCCCUCGUGAACGCGGAAUCCCUAGUAACCGCGUGUCACCAACGCGCGGUGAAUACGUCCCUGCCCCUUGCACACACCGCCCGUC